CACUAAACGUUUCCAUACUGAACAACCACAGCUUUCCCCUCUGUGAACAUGGAGAAACUGGCUGCAAUUCUGCUCUGUUCAGCUCUCAUAGGUAACAGCUUGGAAGAUGAUAUUACUGCCAUCAGUGCUGAAGUGUGUUCCUCAGAGGGCCGUAGUGUUACUCUGUCCUGUACAUAUUCAGUUAAAGCCAAUAAUCUCCAGUGGUACAGACAGGAUCCUGGAUCAGCUCCUCAGUUCCUCCUCCUGAUCACUGACGCAGCACAGCCUUACGUGGUGGAAGCAAAACCUCCAAUCCCUCGACUGAAUGCCACACUGAACUUGGAGAGAAAUCAAGUGGAUCUGCAGAUCUCCUCUGCUGCAGUGACAGACUCUGCUGUGUACUACUGUGCUCUGAGGCCCACAGUGACAGUCACACAGCACUGA